rnacentral:rRNA from 1 species
GAUGAACGCUGGCGGCGUGCCUAAUACAUGCAAGUCGAGCGAACAGACGAGGAGCUUGUUCCUCUGACGUUAGCCGCGGACGGGUGAGUAACACGUGGAUAACCUACCUAUAUGACUGGGAUAAUUUCGGGACACCGGAGCUAAUCCCGGAUAAUAUAUUGAACCGUAUGGUUCAAUAGUGAAAGGCGGUUUUGGUGUCACUUAUCGAUGGAUCUGCGCCGCUUUAGCUGGUUGGUAAGGUAACGGCUUACCACGGCAACUAUGCGUAUCCGACCUGCGAGGGUGAUAGGCCACACUGGAACUUGGACACGGCCCAUACUCCUGAGGGAGGCAGCAGUAGGGAAUGGUCCGCAGUGGGCGAAAGUUUGACGGAACAACCCCACGUGAGUGAUGAAGGCCCUCGGAUCGUAAAACUGUGUUAGUAGGGAAGAACAAAUGUGUAAGUAACUAUGCACGGCUUGACGGUACCUAAUCAGAAAGCCACGGCUAACUACGUG